UACCAGCACCCCGAGUGGUCGGGACGUUUAUUGGGCCUAAAGCAUCCGUAGCCGGUUCUACAAGUCUUCCGUUAAAUCCAUCUGCUUAACAGAUGGGCUGCGGAAGAUACUAUAGAGCUAGGAGGCGGGAGAGGCAAGCGGUACUCGAUGGGUAGGGGUAAAAUCCGUUGAUCCAUUGAAGACCACCAGUGGCGAAGGCGGUUCUCCAGAACGCGCUCGACGGUGAGGGAUGAAAGCUGGGGGAGCAAACCGGG
rnacentral:rRNA from 1 species